GAAUCUCAACUUAAAGAUCAAAGUCUGGUAAAUUAUAAUGUACCCACUUGUAAGUUGAGUAUAGCAAGUGCUACCAUUGCUACAAUAUGUCUGGCUCUGCUAACUGCCAUUGAGCUAAUCACUGUUUUACUUAAAAUAAAUGCAAAAAAGUUGGUUGCUGGGAUUAUUCAAGUUGGACUCUUUGUUGGUUCUAUUUUGUCCCUAUUGAAUACCACAGUGGUGGUUUCAGCUGGUUGGGCAAAGACCUGUGCUACACACAAUGACUAUGAUCAUUUUAUAACAGGAUCUGGUUCUUUCAUUAGAUUUGAUUGCACUGGACCACAAUAUACUACUAUUAUCUCUCGCUAUGAUUUCACUGAACUUGGACCUUAUCCACCAAAUGGUGCAGAAUUCAUAGCAGCUGCUGUAAGUAAUUAAACAGACAAGCUAUUAAUUCUAUUGUCCUAAUCUAGAUAUGUUCUGGUGUUGGUACUUUGUUAACUAUUGCAGCUUUUUGUAUUUGUAGUGUGAAGCUGAUGAUACGAAAUGAUGAUUGAAUCAUGCCAAACAAUUAAACACUAAUUUCAUGUAGAAACAAUAAUUAUAGUGAUCCUAAUAUUGACACUACUUUUUAGUUGAUUAUCAUGUACUGUCUAUUAGUAAAAUGUAUUACAUAUAGUUAAAGCAA